AUAAGCAGGGUAGAUACCACGAUCACAAAGGUGAUUUUCCCAGGGGGAGGCUGGUCCAUUGUACUCUGGGGUCUCCUGACCCCUGCGAUUUCCCCACAUGCGGGAAACUCGACUGCAUAAUUUGUGUUGAUGGGGGGUUGCGUGCGUGCUUUCCCCCA